GCAGUUCAGAUGACACAGAAACUCAGAGGAAGGGAAUGCAAGUGAGAAAAAAAUCACAAACCCCAGAUUUUUUGAGAGUUAAUAGCACUUUAGACAAAACGGUGUUGGCUGUUCAAAGCCAUUCCCGUCCUAAGGAAGUGACAUGUCAGAAAAUUGUGAAUAGAGCUCCUGCUGCCAUUCUAUUAGCACUGAAGCUGACCCAGGGUUCCUCUUGCACACUGCUGGAGUUCUUCAAGAGACACAAAAUGCACAAUUCAAAGCUGAACUCGUGCAGCCUGUGAGUGUCCCCAGAGGGUCACCAUUCUCCAGACCCUGCAAGGCCAUACUUAAGAGCAGGUUGACCGAUCUGACAGCUUUGAGGCAGCUUGGCAAGUUUGUUCACCACAGAGCUGAUGAACCACACUGGCCAACCUUCCCUCAGGAACCUGUUUGGUAACUCAGAGCUGCACCAAGGAAGAGCAGCAGCUCAGGGGAUGAAGGGGCUGACAGCACAUAGGAACCACAUUGCUGUAGCUGAGCAGGAGGUCCUCAAAGGGGAAAAGCCCGA